UUUUGGCUUUGCUGCUGUUUGGCUCCUAAUUUGCAGCUGAUUUUGUUGCUGUUUUGCUGUUGUUUUCGUGUUGCUUUGCUGCUGUUUUAAGAUGUUGGUUUGCUGCUAUUUUUUUGCUAUCAUUUUUUCUUUAUAUCCAUAAAUAAAUUCUACAAAAUAGAAGUGACAACUAGUUGAAUUGUUGAAUGAGCUAUUAUAUAUAUGAGAUUUUCAAUAUACUUUUGAGGCUCCUUCAUGUUUUCGGUCACUAUUUGAAUAUUUGUUAUUAUACUGUUGUUGUAAUUUUUUAGUGGAUUAACUUAUUUCGUAGUGGAUUAUGUUAAUAUUUUAGUGGAUUUCGAUAAUUUUUGUAGUGGGUUUUGGCGAGAUUGUAGUGGAUUUUAAAUUCUUGCUUUGGAGACCGAAUUUUAGUGAAUGAAUUAAAUUGACACGUUGUUGUCUUAUUUUUCUUUGGUUUAGGUUCUUGCACAAGCGGGUGAUGGCAGCAAGUGAGACGAUGUUGGGUGAUGAUAAGUUUGUAGUGUUUAUCACCGGGUCACUCUAACCUAACGAAAACCACGAGCAACACUAUCAUAAAUUCGGAAGCUUGUAGUGAAUUUUGAUAAGUUUGUUGUUGAUGCAUAAGUGUUUUUCUACGAUAUUUUUUUAGUGGAUUAACCAUAUAUUACGUUAAUUUUGUAGUGGAUUACUUUAAUCUAUAAAGUGGAUUUUGAUAACUUUGUAGAGGAUUUUGAUAAUUUUGUAAUGGGUUACGUUAGUUCGUAGUGGAUUAUGUAAAUUUAUAUUCAAUUUCAUAAUGAUUUCUACGUUAAUCGAA
rnacentral:lncRNA from 1 species